GAAACUGGGGAAACUUUGAGUGCAGAAGAGGAGAGUUGGAAUUCCACGUUGUAGCGGUGAAAUGCGUAGAGAUGUGGAGGAACACCAGUGGCGAAGGCGACUCUCUGGUCUGUAACUGACGCUGAGGAGCGAAAGCGUGGGGAGCGAACAGGAUUAGAUACCCUGGUAGUCCACGCCGUAAACGAUGAGUGCUAAGUGUUAGGGGGUUUCCGCCCCUUAGUGCUGCAGCUAACGCAUUAAGCACUCCGCCUGGGGAGUACGGUCGCAAGACUGAAACUCAAAGGAAUUGACGGGGGCCCGCACAAGCGGUGGAGCAUGUGGUUUAAUUCGAAGCAACGCGAAGAACCUUACCAGGUCUUGACAUCCUCUGACAAUCCUAGAGAUAGGACGUCCCCUUCGGGGGCAGAGUGACAGGUGGUGCAUGGUUGUCGUCAGCUCGUGUCGUGAGAUGUUGGGUUAAGUCCCGCAACGAGCGCAACCCUUGAUCUUAGUUGCCAGCAUUCAGUUGGGCACUCUAAGGUGACUGCCGGUGACAAACCGGAGGAAGGUGGGGAUGACGUCAAAUCAUCAUGCCCCUUAUGACCUGGGCUACACACGUGCUACAAUGGACAGAACAAAGGGCAGCGAAACCGCGAGGUUAAGCCAAUCCCACAAAUCUGUUCUC
rnacentral:rRNA from 1 species